CCUAAACCAAUCUGCUUUGUUUCUGUGGUCAUAGAAGAUCCCCAAGCUUCACUGGAAUUGCCAAAGGAACUUAGUGAGCUUCAGCAAAUAUCAGAUGCUUUUUGCUUGGCAGCUGGCCUCAUCCCAACCAAGUCAGGAGAAAAAAUUCAUGAUGAUUUCAGCUGGCCAAAAGGUCAGGAGGCUGAGGAUGGAUAUCUGGAUCCUGCAGCACUCUGGGGAGAGCAGGGAGCAGCAGCCUCUCCAAGAAGCCUCUGAAGAUUUGGAUGAAGCUUUUGGAUGAUACCAUUGAUGUGUGGGGACCCUCUCACCUAAAGACACAAAGUACACAACAGACUCAACCGUGUGCUGCCAUUACAGCCAGGAACAGCACAGAUUUCAUGAGUCCUGAAACUUGCUACCCAAGCUUGAUAUACGUAGAGAUCUAUUGAGCCAACUAUAAAUACGUUAAAGAAAGCAUAAUAAUAAGAGUGCAAGCAAAGCCAAGAAUAUUUCCGUUUUUUCAAAGGCUUCCAAACAUUUUAUACGCCGCAAGAUCAUGUGCAGACUCAAGGCAUCACAUUUCAAGUUAAAGUCAGGCAUUCAUCUGUAACUUUGAAUAUAUGGGUUGGAAUCAAACACAAUAUUUUCACGUUACUUGAGUUUAGGCUUUCUUUGUGUUUUUAUGUUCCUGUUCAAAAGAAAGGAAAUCCCUGAUACCAAGACAAGUAAUCUGUGUUCUGAGCCAAUAAAUCCUCAGGGAAUUUGAAACAGGUAGAUUGUAAGAGGCCCUUUUUGGAGUCUG
rnacentral:lncRNA from 1 species